rnacentral:rRNA from 1 species
GUAGGUGGCAAGCGUUGUCCGGAAUUAUUGGGCGUAAAGCGCGCGCAGGCGGUCCUUUAAGUCUGAUGUGAAAGCCCACGGCUCAACCGUGGAGGGUCAUUGGAAACUGGGGGACUUGAGUACAGAAGAGGAAAGCGGAAUUCCACGUGUAGCGGUGAAAUGCGUAGAGAUGUGGAGGAACACCAGUGGCGAAGGCGGCUUUCUGGUCUGUAACUGACGCUGAGGCGCGAAAGCGUGGGGAGCAAACAGGGAUUAGAUACCCUGGUAGUCCACGCCGUAAACGAUGAGUGCUAAGUGUUAGGGGGUUUCCGCCCCCUUAGUGCUGCAGCUAACGCAUUAAGCACUCCGCCUGGGGAGUACGGCCGCAAGGUUG